rnacentral:rRNA from 1 species
CAGUCGCCACGGUAAUACGAAGGGUGCAAGCGUUACUUGGAAUUACUGGGCGUAAAGCGUGCGUAGGUGGUGGUUUAAGUCCGUUGUGAAAGCCCUGGGCUCAACCUGGGAAUUGCAGUGGAUACUGGGUCACUAGAGUGUGGUAGAGGAUAGUGGAAUUUCCGGUGUAGCAGUGAAAUGCGUAGAGAUCGGAAGGAACAUCUGUGGCGAAGGCGACUAUCUGGGCCAACACUGACACUGAGGCACGAAAGCGUGGGGAGCAAACAGGAUUAGAGACCCCGGUAGUCCCUGUCUCUUAUAC